rnacentral:misc_RNA from 1 species
UUCGUAAGUUUAUACUUUCAAAGUAGCAGACGAUCACGAUUUGGAGGGAAAAACAAAAGCAGUCGCUGAGUGAAUAACAAUUCAAUAACAUUCUCGAAAACUUCCAUUAUAGGUUAUGGCUGCUGAGCAAGUUGUUGCUCCUGAUUUGGAGUCUGAAGAAGAAGAGGAUCCAUUUUUUCAAGAUAUUGAACAAUUACAGAAUCACGGAAUUAAUGCAGCUGAUAUUAAGAAGUUAAAACAAUCAGGAAUAUGCACCAUCAGGGGUAUACAUAUGACAACCAGAAAGAAGAUGUGUACAAUAAAAGGUAUAUCUGAAGCAAAAAUGGAAAAAAUCAAAGAAGCUUCUCUGAAAAUUUGUGAAAAUGGUUUCUUUACUGCUCUGCAGUAUGCACAUAAACGUAAACAGAUUUUCCAUAUUUCUACGGGCAGUGCGGAGCUUGAUAAACUUCUAGGUGGUGGGAUUGAAAGUAUGUCUAUCACAGAAGCUUUUGGAGAGUUUCGAACUGGGAAAACACAGUUGUCUCACACCUUGUGUGUUACUGCACAGCUACCUGGGACAAAUGGUUACACUGGAGGUAAAGUGGUAUUUGUUGACACAGAAAAUACAUUUCGUCCUGAUCGCUUGAGAGACAUUGCAGAUCGUUUUAAUCUAGACCAAGAAGCAGUUUUGGAUAAUGUAUUAUAUGCCAGAGCAUAUACCAGUGAACACCAAUAUGAACUUUUGGAUUUUGUGGCAGCCAAGUUUUAUGAGGAACCUGGAAUAUUUAAACUGAUGGUUGUUGAUUCUGUUAUGGCUUUAUUUCGUGUUGAUUUCUGUGGACGAGGAGAACUGGCUGACAGACAGCAGAAACUUGGUCAACUUCUAUCACGACUUCAAAAAAUAGCAGAAGGUUUCAAGGGGACCCAAAGAAACCCAUUGGUGGACACAUUCUAGCACAUGCAUCCACCAUUAGGAUUUACCUUCGUAAAGGAAGAGGAGAUACAAGAAUUGCAAAGAUCUAUGACAGCCCAGAUCUACCAGAAAGUGAAGCAACAUUUUCCAUCACACAAGGAGGAAUCAAUGAUGCAAAAGAAUAGAAGUCAUAUCAAUGUUGAUAAACCAGGCCAAACUGUAGCUUUUAUUGUCUUAAACAAAAUAUGUAUUUUAUUAAAAGCACUUCAACAUUCUGAAAUUCAAAUAUUGGGUAAAAAUAAUAAAACAAAACUAUUGCUCUCUUCACAGUUUAUCUAGGUGUUGAAGCACUUACUUUAAUUCAUUAUAUCUGAUAUUUGUAGAAAUAAAGGCAUUAGACUGGCAGAAUUAUCAUCAUGCAGGAUAAAAUGUUGCUAAGUAGUUCUAUCUCUUCACAUUCUGUGUUCAAAUGCCACUGAGGUUGACUGCUUUUCAUCCUUUCAGGAUCAAUAAAAUAAGUACCAAAUUGAGCACUGGGGUUGAUGUAAUCAACUUCCCCUCCCCUCAACAUUGCUGGCCCUUGUGCCAAAAUUAGGAAGGAUAUUAUAUGAAUAGGAAACUCAUUCCAGCAUAGACAGAACUUUUACACAAUUAUAAAUGGUUACAAACAAAUGAAAAAAAAACAAGAAAAGAAUAUUAAUAUCAAAAUAUUUUAUUAAGGCAUUUCCUCUACAUAUGAAGUGAAUGAAUGAAAUGAAUGUAAUGAAAUGUAUCUCUAUGAAAUGAAGUUGCUGCCUUCUGUAACUAUAUUUUUCAGAAAAAUGAAUGUAAGUAGCAAGAUGCCAACAAUAAGAUUUACUAACUUGGUUGACAAAACAGUAUUUCAGAAAAAAGUGAUGGUUGAACAAAAAUAAAAUUGCAUAAAUAAUUUCAGUUCAGAAAGUUUUCAGUUAAAAAAAAAAAAAAAAAGUAAUGGUAAUUUUUUUUUGUUUGUAUUUUAUGAGUAAACAUUUUCACUGGAUUUUAUAGCAAAACAAAGUUGACAGAUUACAAAUUACAAAUCAUUUUGUUAAGUUACCUAUUGUAGAAUUUUCAAAAUGAAAUAA